UAGGGAAUCUUCGGCAAUGGGGGCAACCCUGACCGAGUAACGCCGCGUGAGUGAAGAAGGUUUUCGGAUCGUAAAGCUCUGUUGUAAGUCAAGAACGAGUGUGAGAGUGGAAAGUUCACACUGUGACGGUAGCUUACCAGAAAGGGACGGCUAACUACGUGCCAGCAGCCGCGGUAAUACGUAGGUCCCGAGCGUUGUCCGGAUUUAUUGGGCGUAAAGCGAGCGCAGGCGGUUUGAUAAGUCUGAAGUUAAAGGCUGUGGCUCAACCAUAGUUCGCUUUGGAAACUGUCAAACUUGAGUGCAGAAGGGGAGAGUGGAAUUCCAUGUGUAGCGGUGAAAUGCGUAGAUAUAUGGAGGAACACCGGUGGCGAAAGCGGCUCUCUGGUCUGUAACUGACGCUGAGGCUCGAAAGCGUGGGAGCGAACAGGAUUAGAUACCCUGGUAGUCCACGCCGUAAACGAUGAGUGCUAGGUGUUGGAUCCUUUCCGGGAUUCAGUGCCGCAGCUAACGCAUUAAGCACUCCGCCUGGGGAGUACGACCGCAAGGUUG
rnacentral:rRNA from 1 species